UCAGUCUAUAAGUUGGUAAACUUCUUUAAUCAACAACAAUGUUGAUCAGUGGAUCUAGUUGCUCAAUAAUUCCUGACAAUAAAUAACAGUAUAAGUAUGACCGUAUAAUAAAUAAAUCAAACUGACAAAGUUUGUCCUGUGUGCCUUCUGUGAAUAAAUGAUUUAUUCUUUUGUGUGAUAAAUGGCAUGUUGCAUAAAUGACAUAGUUUAAUGGCAAUCAUAUAUUCUAGGUCAUGAAUAAAUAUUGUAUAUAUGUCACUAGGUAAUGAAUAAUAUAUAUGUGUGUGUAUAUAUAUAUAUUAUAUUUUCAGGCAAGUUGUUGAUAUCCAAUUUGGUCAGAUGAGGUGAUAUAUAAUGUAAAUGGUGUAGUGGGUGUACAGACUUUGCCAUGUUUUACGGUAGUGGUCAUAAAGUGAUCA
rnacentral:lncRNA from 1 species